GAGCAGAUCAGUAGCUAAACUAGGAUCUGUGAGCUUGUGUACAUGUUAGUAUAGGUUGGCAUAGCAGCAUAGAUUUUAGCUUUAGGUCAAUCAGCUGUUGAUCUUGUGUCAUUCCUGAAACUUGCAACAAAUUUCAACUUGUAAAUCUUCUUGUGAAUAUCUUUUCAUAUCAUUGUUCUAUUUCUGUAUGGACUCAAUUGUUUCAUUUAUUCUACUGGGC
rnacentral:misc_RNA from 1 species